AUUGAACGCUGGCGGAAUGCUUUACACAUGCAAGUCGAACGGCAGCACGGGGCAACCUGGUGGCGAGUGGCGAACGGGUGAGUAAUACAUCGGAACGUGCCCAAUCGUGGGGGAUAACGUAGCGAAAGUUACGCUAAUACCGCAUACGAUCUACGGAUGAAAGCGGGGGAUCGCAAGACCUCGCGCGAAUGGAGCGGCCGAUGUCAGAUUAGGUAGUUGGUGGGGUAAAGGCUCACCAAGCCGACGAUCUGUAGCUGGUCUGAGAGGACGACCAGCCACACUGGGACUGAGACACGGCCCAGACUCCUACGGGAGGCAGCAGUGGGGAAUUUUUGGACAAUGGGCGCAAGCCUGAUCCAGCCAUUCCGCGUGCAGGAUGAA
rnacentral:rRNA from 1 species